rnacentral:SRP_RNA from 1 species
GCCGGACGCGGUGGCGCGCGCCUGUAGUCCCAGCUACCCGGGAGGCUGAGGCAGGAGGAUCGCUUGAGUCCAGGAGUUCUGGGCUGCAGUGGGCUAUGCCGAUCGGGUGUCCGCACUAAGUUCGGCAUCAAUAUGGUGACCUCCCGGGAGCGGGGGACCACCAGGUUGCCUAAGGAGGGGUGAACCGGCCCAGGUCGGAAACGGAGCAGGUCAAAACUCCCGUGCUGAUCAGUAGUGGGAUCGCGCCUGUGAAUAGCCACUGCACUCCAGCCUGGGCAACAUAGCGAGACCCCGUCUCUU